rnacentral:lncRNA from 1 species
ACUGGAGUGGGUUGCCAUUUCCUUCUCCAAUGCAUGAAAGUGAAAAGUGAAAGUGAAGUCGCUCAGUUGUGUCCGACUCUUCGCGACCCCAUGGACUGCAGCCCACCAGGCUCCUCCGUCCAUGGGAUUUUCCAGGCAAGAGUGCUGGAGUGGGGUGCCAUUGCUUUCUCCGGUAGAUAGUUCACUCAGCAUCAAUUCUCAGUAUCUCUCGGCCCCUCUGAGAUCUCCUGGAAUGCCAACGAGCGCCUCGUUGCUAAGAUUUCUCGGGCAGCAGGCAGGGGCACCCUUCCACUGUGGGGACUCUUUUCCCAGUGGAGCCCAAAUAAGGCGCAAGUCUGGAGAACUGGAGGCAGGGCACAGAAGCCGGGAGAGCCUGAGGGUCCCUGAAGAGAGUCGGGGACGAGGAGAGAGAGACUGGGUCAGUACCUGCCGCAGACGAAAGGAAAUCUGGAUAAUCGCUUCCUAUCGAGCGCCUGAUCUUAGCUCAGCGCUCUGCCGUGGCCUCUCCACUCAAGUGCUCCUCCUCUCGGCCUCUUCCUUGGAGACUACGAUGCUCACGCACCUCAUCUCCACGCGCUGUGUCUUCCCCUUCUCCAUUGCGCAUUCAGCAAUGGAGGUAGGUGGGCUCACCUCUGCUUACCGCCGCGGUGCGUCCUUGGCCCCUUGGCCACUACUGCCUCGGUGUUGUAAGCAUUCGCCUGUCUUCUCUAUGGAAUUAUAUAAAGAAAAAUGCAACAAAAAGAAAGAAAGAAAGAAUCCACAUUCGUGAUACCUGGACCUAAAGACCACAACUUUGUCACAUUCACUUCCAAUCUUUAAAAAAAAAAAACAAAACUUUUGGUUUUCCUUUUAACGAACCAAAAGCAGUAAUUCAUGAUGACCUGUCUGAUUGAUUUAUUAAUGCCGUGAAUGGAAAUCAAGUGCACAAAUAAGCCUAAAUCCUAAGUGAACAAUGGGGGCCCUGCCCAAUGGGCAGAACCAGGCCCGCUGGAGGUCUUGGGUGCCCGCCCGCCAUGGCCUUCGCAGGCAUGACCCAUGGCAGGGGGUGGGGGUCUUGGCAGAGGCAGAGACGUGAUUAAUCCCGCCGCGCCAUCCGGCGGGUGAGGACCCUCAGAAAAGCCCCGAGUGAGUCGCCAGUCCACAUGAGGUCUAGCUUGGAUCAGCUUUGGAAAAUAGAGCCCGGGCCGUAUCACCAGAGGAG